rnacentral:lncRNA from 1 species
CACAAGACUGGACGACAGGAGGACAGGAACAUUCUUACUGGCUCCUGUAUUUUUCUGUGUUGGCGAAAACCCUGGUGGGAUUAUCUUCAGAAGCACCAAAACACCCAGAGAGUGAGAACUGACUUUUCACGUCAUCUUCAGACCUCUGAUGGUGUUUCUGUAAAGAUGAAAGACCAGUAUCUACAGAAACCAGGCCAGAUCACUUUGACACAGAUGCGAUGAGUGGAUGAAGAAGGCCGAACAGGUUCUGAGACUCGGAUCUACUGAGGUACUGAGUGAGAAGCUGUGGUAAUGUUCUGUAUACAUAUCAGAGGGUCCUUCAAGUGAAUGUCAGAUUGCAGAGCAGACCUUCAUUGUCUUAAUCCCGCCGGUUAGCUGCUGUGGUUCUGGUGUUGAGCUGGGAGCGCGGCGUUGGGUUUCGCCGGCGGGUCUUUUGACCGGGCUCACAGGGGAUGAGUGGAGAUCCUGAGCGCUGCACAGGCGCUUAUGAAGGACGCACAUUGUUGCCAGCCCUGGGGAGAAAACUGAGCAGUCUGGCAACACAGGCGGAAUUUCCUACUGCGAUGUUAUCUCACACAAGACAUUUAGCUUCGGCCAAAUGAAGGAAGGGGGAGAGAGAGCGAGAGAGAGGUAAGAGAGAGGGGAGGGGAGAGGGGGACAGACUGAGGGACAAGGAAGGUGAGGAGGAGGAGGAGGAGGAUGAUUUAGAGGCAGAAAUAUGAGAGUCAAAGACGUGAAACUCAAACUUUUUAUUUUGUUCUCUGUUUGUGAUUCUCCAAAGUCCAGUGGCUUUAAUUAAAGGGACAUUUCCAAAUUUAUAUGUGGUGAUCCUAUACAUGAACAUGUUUGGAUCAUAAAUGUCCAGGACCUUCUAAAGACAAAAAAAAAAAAAAUGGAAAAAGGUCAAAAGAUUUUGAAGUGUAAGGGUUAUGUUGGGGUAACACCGGGGUAUUAGGGUUGGGGUUAUGGUGUUAGUGUCAAAUUACUGUCCAGGAACUUUUUAGGAGCAUGUUUGAGACAAUUUGGUGUCAAAAAAUAGGAAAAAUAUAAAAAAUUGUGUUUGGCUUACAUUAAGGUAACGUUGGGGUAUUGGGGUUAGGGUUAUGGUGUUGGGGUUAAAUUAUUGUCCAGGACCUUUUUAGGAGCAUGUUUGAGACCAUUUGGUGCCAACUGGUGCAAAAAAAUUAGGGAAAAUUUUUGAAUUUUUUUUUUUCAAAAAUUUUUGAAGUGUAAGGGUUACGCUGAGGUAACAUUGGGGUAUUGGGUAUAGGGUUAAGGGUUAGAAUUAUGGGGUACGAGUUUCAAUCAUUGUCCAAGACCUUUUUUACAAGCACAUCUCAGACCAUUUGGAGACAAUUGGUACAAAAAAAUUAGGAAAAAUGUCAAAAAAAUAGUUAAGUGUUAGGGUUACGUUUGGGUAACGUUGGGGUAUUAGGGUUAAGGUUAAAAUCACUGUCCAGGACCUUUUUAGUUGCAUGUUUCAGACCAUUUAGAGUCAAUUGAUACAAAAAAAAGUUUUAGGGGUUUAGUUGGGGUAACCUUGGGGUAUUGGGAUUAGGGUUUCAAAUGCGAGUGAAACGGUCGCACUGUCGAGCCCUGCCUACAUAUAUGUGCAUUUAUGAAACUGUUCUUGCUUCUAAUAGGUUUCAUUUAAAGUUUGUCUGUACGUGCACAUAGAUGUUAUGAUAUAGGUGAGUGUGCAUGAAUGCAGGUAUGAUGAGGAGCUUGGACAUGGGAAGCAGAUUACUCAUCUGAGGCCUGUUCUUUUGGACUAGGAGAACCGGGUUCAGGUGCUCUUAAUCCAUGACGACCACUGGCAGUAACAUAUUUCUGAAGAUGACUGAACGAUAUUCUGGUUUUUGACCACACGGGUGUUUCUCAUGCAGCCGGAUCCCAAAUCUGACAUUCAGCGAAGAGCAAACAAAGAGCUCUAAAGUCCAGUGUGUCUCUAAAAGUGUUUGUUAAAGAGGUUAAAGGGAGGACCUUUGGACCAGUAUUAGUGUUUUAUUCUUAUGACCUUUGGGCUUUCAGCUCCCUGUUAGUUAGUGUUCAGUCCAUGUCUGACACUGUUGUUUUUAAUUCUGAUUCAGCUUAAAUGUGAGAGUUUGUAUAUUAGCAGCUGGAGGAGGUGUUAGAAUAACAUGUCUGACUUUUGAGCUUUAAAUUGAGGGUGAUGAAGUGCUAAAACGUGGAGGUGGCAGCACCAUGUGUCUGGAGGUGAAAACUAGGAUGGAGUCCACGUUUAUGAGGCUGUUCUGGGAGUCAAUCAGAGAAAGUGUGAGGAGGUUCAGUCAGCCAGGAAUGUCAGUUUGUUUAUACUCUCAGAAAUUAUUAUUAUUGAAGUAUUAAAACGAACUCAUGUCCAUGUUUAUACGAUGACAGGUUUAUGAUUAGGGCUUUAAAAACAAUUAAAAAAACACCUCAUAAAGUGAUCAAGAAAGCAGCUUCAUCAUAAAAAGUCCACAUGAUUCAAACGUCUUAUCUCUGUGAUGGAGCUCCCGGAGGGAAAAGGUGACGGGAUCGUACGAUAAACUGUCUGGAUUAUAGGAAACUCUGGUCAAUCAUUUACACCUGUUGUUUCUACGGUGCUCACAUUUGGACAAACUAAAUAAAUGAGAUGUUCCCAUUUCAAAACAGAGCAGGACUGGAUCCACACUGAUGAAAUUUAUCCACAUUAUCCACACUUUUAAAAAAACAAGAAACUUGGAUUACCGUAUAAUCUGGAAUAUAAAUCCCACCAUUUUUUAAAGUGCAGUCUUUUUCAGGGGCUUUUAUGAGAGGAAGUCUAAAACAUGAUUUAUUUUUUUGUUUUGUUUUAGUGCCGUAUAUUUGCAGGAUUCCUAAAUGUCAGAUAUAUCUGAUUUUUGGAGUAAAAUACCGUAAUGUGUAGAAUACAUCUCUGGAAAGGGACACGGAGGCGAGAUAAAGCGCGUCUCAAUCUGGAAUCUUUAGGGUAGAUUUUGCUCCAUUAUCCAAAUACUGUAUCUUAUAAUGUGUAGCAGAGCCAACGUAAGCACGGGGGGCGUGAAAAAGGCGAAAAAGAGUCACUAAGUUUGAGGACCAAUCAGAUUAAUGUAAACGCCGCCAUCACGUGAAUAAAGUAAUCAAUCAUAACCCGGGUCACAUGACAGCCUCAGAACCUCUCGACUUUCUCUGGAUAAUGAUUAGCGAACUGUGAUCGACGAUCGCUGCAGACUUUGUUAAUGUUUUCUUCAGCUGUUUACGACAUUACACCAGACUGACUGUAGUCGGCGAGAAUCAAAGACGGCGGGAGAUAACGCUGACACACUCUCUGUGCGGGUUAUGAUGGAGGAGAAAUGGUCAGUUUAAGAUUUUACGCCUUCAGCUGUAAAAAAUAAUGAGAUGAUUUAAGGCUCUGAAGCAGCUGUCACAGUUUACACCUGAUUUUCUCCGCUCAUCAAACGCAGGUGUAAUAAAAGCCGCCCUCCACACGCAAACGGUAUCAACAGUUUCCGAGCACGACGCCUAAACGACACGACUUCCCGGGUCACGACAAAGUGCAUGAGCCGAACCCCUGCUGUUCGCCACGAGAAAUAAAUAGUUAGAGCGAGAACACAGGAAAUACCCAGAGAUGAGAACGCCACCUACAGAAAGUCAAACUUCAAUGAGGGGAAAUCUGAAAAAACAAACAAAAAAACAUGACACAUUAGCGCCCACACGGUUUGAUUGACAGCUCGUCUGUGGGAAGAGGAGCGAAAGUCAGGAGCGCUCGGAAACAAAGGCGGAGAGAGGGUUCUUUUAGAGAGGAUUAUUGGGAGGAGAUUCAGGAUGAAGACGCUGCUCUGCCCGGUGACAGAACCUCAGAAAGACAGGAGGGGUUCGACUUUAUUCAGGGCGUCUCACAGAAAGGGGGUCACCGUUUAGUCGACUGAUUCAGGGAACAAAAGUGAAGAGAACGCAGACUCAGUACAAUCACAACAUCAGAACCAUUGAAAAUAAUCAGGGUUUGAUUAUUUGUUGAUGAGUUGAACCCUAUACUAAAAUACGAAGUACGGAGUACGCAGCAUCCAUGAUUUCUAAAAAGUUUCCUCAGAUCACAGGACAGUUUUCCACUCGGUCUGAGAUGUUGCCUCCAAAAUAAAUGUCAAGCUCUGAUUUUUGGUUCAACCCCUAGACAGUUUUUCAAUUUGCCUAAUCUCACGUUAAACAGUCUAACCCAGAAUUUCCACCAUAUCUGGAACGGCUGCGAUUUUCGCUGUACGCUAAUUCCUACCAGAUCUGUUUGUGAGGCGAAUUUCGUGGUGGAUUACAGACAGCAGGAAUCGCGAGAACUCACAAGAACCUGCAGAUUCACGUACAAUUGCACAAUAACGAGUUGUCUUUAGCCACAGAGGCUAACCAUAUUAGCAGUAGAUUGUGUCCUUCCAGAGGAGGAAAUCUACUUCUAGACUUCUAGAAUCAGCAUCUUCUCAUCCAUGGUGUCAUCGGGGUGAAAUGACGUCUAAAAACCUUUUCACUUGUUCGUCUCCGCCCGUUUGCAUGGUGUGAAAUACGAUCCUCCUGAAACACGGAGUGUUUUAUUUUGAAAAGAAGCCGGAUGUUUUAUUUUGUGUCUGUGCCCGACUUCCUUUCCAGCACGGGUUAAUCUGUGCUGAAUUUAUCCGGCAUGCUCCAGAAAAAAUAGAACUCUUGCGAUCAGCUGAGGAGUCCGGCGAUCCGCAGAGGAACGGAAAGAAGUCGGUGUAAAUUGACACAUAAACUUGAAUGGUUAUGAUCAGCUACAAUCGGAGUAUACGACUUUUUCGUAGGCUUUCUGAAUGGGAUGGAAAUUGGGGGUAAGGCCCAGAGAAGUUGUGGGCACUUCUGGAUCUAGUUUUCCCGUUUCUAUGGUCGAGUUUGAACCAGCGUCUAUGAUUUCCAGGAAGAGUGUCAAACUUCUAUUUUCAUGGUUUGACCCCAGGGUUAGACGUCCUCUUUGCAUGGUUCAGUUUUGACCUGACUGGAUUUUGUUAGUGUUUUUGAGCCCAUGCAGUAAAUUCCACUACAGAGUCAUGAGUUUUUGACCUUGUACAGAAAUCUCUCCUGAUUUUCUGAAUCUUUAAUGAUGUUUUUUGCUUUAGAUCAGCGGUGGACAAUCAUGUGACAUGGAGGGCCGAGAGGCUGCAGGUUUUCUUUCCAACCCAAAACUCCACCAGGUGAUUUCACUGAUUACCUCCAAGCAGAGAGCAGGGACUAAUCAGGGGUUGGAAAGAAAACCUGCAGCCUCUCGGCCCUCCAUGAUUGCCCACCCCUGCUUUAAUACCCCUUUAACACCCCUUAAAUAAAUGUAUGUUUUUAAUGCAGGCGGUCCAAGGAGCAUACGCAUGAACCACAUUGUAGACAAAGAUAAUUUCCUGCUUUUGACAUCUCUGAAUGGCGCCGAGCUGCUCCUGGAUCUGAAUGAGUGAAAUCAGGGCAGCGUAGCGCACAUGAGGGAUUCAGGAGCUUUUCCUGGAUAAAUAACGGAAGGUUGAAAAGCAACUCCAGGAAAUAUGCGCCGCUGCUUUGAGAGACAUCCUCAUCUGACAUAUGACCUGUCAAUCUCCGUCACAGUUGGACCUGAUUAGGCUGAUGAAACCAACAGAGAGCCACUUGAAACUGUCAAAGACGCAUUCCACUUUGUAGGUGUCAGGCGCUGUUGUUCACGCGGCAACAGGCUGACAGUUAUAUGAAGGCAGGCGUUAAAGGCAGCUCCAAAAAUAAACUAUCAAUCUCAACACAUCUUUGAUAGUCGCUCUUUAAAAAAAAAUAAAACUGCCGAUGAGGUGAGACGAGUUCACUUGUUUCCAGUGCAAAUGAACUUGAAUCGGGUUUCAUCAUGUGGCGUCAUCUUGACACCUGAGUCGUGAUCUGCAUAUUUCUGACAGAUUAGCGCUCCUGAUGUGUUUUUUUUAGCUGGUCCAACUCCUUUUGUUAGAUUUAUUCGGCUGAAUUAUGCAAACGGGGGAACUCCUGAUGAAGACCUGCGAUCAAGGGAACACGGUGAGAGUGGAGUCGGACAAAAUCACAGAAAAGAGAGAAAGAGAAGAAGAAACAGCUGUUUUUGAUUCUACUAAGACUUUCACAAUAAUUACAGGAGUAAAGGUCGUCUGACGG